rnacentral:rRNA from 1 species
UGGGGAAUCUUGCACAAUGGGGGCAACCCUGAUGCAGCGACGCCGCGUGAGCGAUGAAGCCCUUCGGGGCGUAAAGCUCUUUCGACCGGAACGAUAAUGACGGUACCGGGAGAAGAAGCUGCGUCUAACUACGUGCCAGCAGCCGCGGUAAUACGUAGGCAGCAAGCGUUGUUCGGAGUUACUGGGCGUAAAGAGUGCGUAGGCGGUUUUCUAAGUUCGGUGUGAAAUCUCCCGGCUUAACUGGGAGGGUGCGCCGAAGACUGGGAAGCUGGAGUGUGGGAAAGGCAGGCGGAAUUCCUGGUGUAGCGGUGAAAUGCGUAGAUAUCAGGAGGAACACCGGCGGUGUAGACGGCUUGCUAGACCAUAACUGACGCUGAGGCACGAAAGCGUGGGUAGCAAACA